rnacentral:rRNA from 1 species
UUACGCUGUUAUCCCUAAGGUAAUUUAUUUUAAAAUUCUAAAUUUUAGGAUUAUAUAUUCAUAUAUUAAUGUAAAUUUUAAUUUUAAGUUUUUUAAAUUAAAAAAUUACCCCAAUUAAAUAUUAAUUUUAAUUUAAAUUUUUAUUAUUAAAAUUUUAAAUAUAAUUUAUAUAAAAUUCUAUAGGGUCUUCUCGUCUUUUAAUAUUAUUUAAGAAUUUUGACUUAAAUUUUAAAUUUAAUUUAUUUAUUUUAUAAAGUUUAUAUUUCAUUUAAUCUUUCAUUCUAGUUUUCAAUUAAAAAACUAAUUAUUAUGCUACCUUAGUACAGUUAUUUAUACUGCAGCCAUUAAAAUUAUUUCAUUGGGCAGAUUUGAUUUAAAAUUAUUUUCAAUAAGACAUGUUUUUGUUAAACAGGCG